rnacentral:pre_miRNA from 1 species
CUACUACUCUCUCCGUCCAAAAAUACUUGUCAUUGAAAUGGAUGUAUCUAGAUGUAUUUUAGUUCUAGACACAUCCAUUUUGAUGACAAGUAAUUCCGGACAGAGGGAGUAUUAU